CAGGAGUAAUUUAUUUGAAUAGCGCACAUGAAGAAAUUGCAUCUGCACUGGCUGAGCUCUGUGUAAGAACCAAAGGGGAAAAAGCAUUUAAUUAUCAAGUGAUGAAACACUGAGGCGAUGAGGCUUGUGUCCAUACGCUCUCGGCCUGGACCAUAAUGACAGAGCAUUUCCACCGAGUCCUCCCCUCACCCUUUCACUCAAGAGUCUCUACAAAACCAGCUGGCAGUAAUUCAUACUGACAUUUCCUUGCCGGUGGCCAUGCAACCGCACGCUGCCUCUUCUGUAAGGAGUUCUUACCCAUCCAGAAAGUGAGAGGGAGUGAGGAGAAAAGCCAGACCAUGGGGACAUCACAGCGCCCUGCCUUCAGCCCACCUUUGGGGAGGUACAAGAGCAUCAGCUACUGCCUGGGGUGCCCGGUGCCUGCCCCGUCAGAGCGCUGCCGUGACCCCCCUUUGCUCAGCUCUCCUGCCUGAGACCCACCUCCCAGCAGGGGCUGGGAAAUGGCCCGGCAGCCGCUGGCUUUAAGGAUGUGGCUGAGCAGAGAGCUCCUGGAGCAGCA